CCUCUCUAUAUGUGUGUGUUGUUCUCUCCCUCUGUGUGUCUGUGUGUCUGUCUGUCUGUGUAGGGGUGUGUGCACACCUAUGUGAGCACAGAGGCAGAAGGUACCCAGCACUCUCUUCCAUCACCCUCGGUUUAUUCCUUGGGUCACUAUCUCUCCCUGAACCUAGGGUUUACAUUUUCUUUGCUAAGCCAGACACUAGCAAUCCUUUCCUCUCAGUCUCCGUUGGAGUUGGGGCUGCAGGUACACCUGGGAUGCUCAGCUUGCUACAUGCUUUCUGGGAUCUAAAUUCUGGUCCUUAUGAUGGCACAGCAAGCAGUCUUAGCCGCUGAGCCAGCUUCCUAGCUCACAGUCUGACUUCUGAUCUUCCAGCAUUGUCUUUCCCAGACCUGACAAAUGCCGGCAUUAGCCAGAAAGGCUUUUGCACAACUCUGGGUCCUGAGCACCGCUGGACUAGUGGGUGAUAACAUCCACACGUGGUAGAGAACAGUAUGAGUUCUCUGCAGUCUCCUACCAGCUUGCUGCUGACCUUGGACAAAUCCUUUUCACUUUUUUGGAUUUGGUUUCUUCAACUAGGGCAAAUCUGCCUGCCUAUACGUCUCGUUGGAUUAAAGGUUAAAACAUGACAUUUUUUUUCCCAAUGGACCCACAAGUUCGUUUACCUCUUCCCUCAGAUGCUGUGCAGCAGAGGCCGCCAUCAUUUCCACCCUAGGGAAGGAAUUAAAUUCUAAGAGAAGUGACUCAUCAAGACCCCACAGCCUAUGGGCUGGAACUUCCUUCACUGUGGCAGCUCAUGAGAGUAUUGGAUUGUUGCCAGUUUGACACAGUAUGUGAGACUAAAUUUGCCCAAAAACUACUAAGUAGGAGGGCUGAGGUUCAAAACCUGACUCAGGCUCCCGAGCACCAACUUGAUUCUCAAGAAUGGGUCAUCUUUGCUGAAUGAAUGUCAUGGAAAGAUUGGGGAUGAAGAUAGAGGGGAAGGGAGGAAUCUGUCUGUCUGUCUGUCUAUCAUCUAUCUUUAUCUAUCCAUCUGUCUGUGCAUCCAUCCAUUUGUCCAUUCAUCCAUAGAUCAUCUAUCUAAUCCAUCUGUCUGUCAGUCUGUCCAUCCAUCUGUCCACCCGCCCAUCCAUCUGUCCAUCCAUCCAUCCAUCAUCCAUCUAUCUUCUCUCUCUCUCUCUCUCUCUCUCUCCCCCUCCAUCCAUCCAUCUGUCCAUCCGUCCGCCCAUCUAUCUACCAAUCUAUCAUACUAGGAAAUGGUAGGAGGAGCAGAUGGUAGAAUUGCAGAGUAGAUGCAAUCAGUGUUUUCCCUGAAGGGAACCUGAGUGGUUGCUGACUGACUGAUUGAUACACCCUAGAGCUUAAACAUCUAUCCUGUCUCAGCCCCUGCUUUCUUCUGGAGAAAAUAAUCGGUAGGACAGAGCCUGAGUCUUUUCUGGCAGUGUGCUGGGAGGAUGACACUGGGUAUGUUAGCUUUGAGCUGCCUGGAGAGGAGGAGCCUGAGCUUCAGAUUGUCACUCUGAGAUGUCUAGGACAUCAACUAAAAAUAUUCAAGCAACCAUUUCUAGCGGCUCCAGUUCAGUUACAUCCUAUUUUAGGGGAGGAUAUUGGGAUGUUCAGAAAAACUGAAACCUGAGGUACUCCUCUCCUGAGACCUGAGGUGCUCCUCUCCUGAAUCCUUCCAGGUCCAGGCCACUUCAGUGGUUCCUGCUGUUACAUUCUCUUGGAGAGUCCCCGCAGCCUUCCCAGACACCCCGUGUCAGAAAAACCUUGCUAUAUAUUCCAAUAUACAAAGGUCACUUUCCUAGGUGGUGAAAAUAUAAUUGAGCAUUUGUUCUUCUCCCUGGGGGAAUGCCCAGAUGUCCUGCCCUUGAUCUUCAAGGCUGGUUCUCUGAGUCAAAGCAUCGCAGGCAUCCCUGCCCUUCCAAAGAGCCUCCUUGAAGCCUGCCUCCUAGCAUAGCUGUAGCCAUUUUGUUCCAUGCCUGCAAACUAUUUCAUAUUGUUGCUGUAAUAUACCUGCCAGUAGUUGAUGCACAGAAAUAACUUAGAGCAGAGUCAUGCUGACCAUGUACCCUGUUAUGUUCUGUAUGUUAUGAGGUUUGUUAAUCUUAAGAAAUUCCGCAACCAUAUGCUUCACUUAGGAACCAUCAAAUUAAAGGUCACUAUGAACGGUUAUGUCUGAAA